rnacentral:rRNA from 1 species
GACGAACGCUGGCGGCGUGCCUAAUACAUGCAAGUAGAACGCUGAAGGAGGAGCUUGCUUCUCUGGAUGAGUUGCGAACGGGUGAGUAACGCGUAGGUAACCUGCCUGGUAGCGGGGGAUAACUAUUGGAAACGAUAGCUAAUACCGCAUAAGAGUAGAUGUUGCAUGACAUUUGCUUAAAAGGUGCAAUUGCAUCACUACCAGAUGGACCUGCGUUGUAUUAGCUAGUUGGUGAGGUAACGGCUCACCAAGGCAACGAUACAUAGCCGACCUGAGAGGGUGGUCGGCCACCCUGGGACUGAGACACGGCCCAGACUCCUACGGGAGGCAGCAGGAGGGAAUCUUCGGCAAUGGACGGAAGUCUGACCGAGGAACGACGCGUGAGUGAAGAAGGUUGUCGGAUCGUAAAGCUCUGUUGUAAGAGAAGAACGAGUGUGAGAGUGGAAAGUUCACACUGUGACGGUAUCUAACCAGAAAGGGACGGCUAACUACGUG